rnacentral:rRNA from 1 species
UACGGAAGGCAGCAGUGGGGAAUAUUGCACAAUGGGCGAAAGCCUGAUGCAGCUAUGCCGCGUGUAUGAAGAAGGCCUUAGGGUUGUAAAGUACUUUCAUCGGGGAGGAAAAAACAAAACUAAUAAUUUUAUUUCUUGACGUUACCCGAAAAAGAAGCACCGGCUAACUCCGUGCCAGCAGCCGCGGUAAUACGGAGGGUGCUAGCGUUAAUCAGAAUUACUGGGCGUAAAGAGCACGUAGGUGGUUUUUUUAAGUCAGAUGUGAAAUCCCUGGGCUUAACCUAGGAACUGCAUUUUGAAACUGAAAUACUAGAGUAUCGUAGAGGGAGGUAGAAUUCUAGGUGUAGCGGUGAAAUGCGUAGAUAUCUGGAGGAAUACCUGUGGCGAAAGCGGCCUCCUAAACGAAUACUGACACUGAGGUGCGAAAGCGUGGGGAGCAAACGAGGAUUAGGAUACC